rnacentral:tRNA from 1 species
GGAGAGGUACCGAAGCGGUCAUAACGGCGCCGACUCGAAAUCGGAUGGUCAGGGAAACCUGGCACGUGGGUUCGAAUCCCACCCUCUCCGCCA